rnacentral:rRNA from 1 species
GUAGGGAAUAUUGGGCAAUGGAUGAAAGUCUGACCCAGCCAUGCCGCGUGCCGGAUGAAGGCGCUCAGCGUUGUAAACGGCUUUUAUUCGGGAAGAAGAGCAGGGAUGCGUCCCUGUGUGACGGUACCGAAUGAAUAAGCACCGGCUAACUCCGUGCCAGCAGCCGCGGUAAUACGGAGGGUGCGAGCGUUGUCCGGAUUUAUUGGGUUUAAAGGGUGCGUAGGUGGGCAAAUAAGUCAGUGGUGUAAUACGGUUGCUCAACAAUCGAGGUUCCAUUGAUACUGCUGGGCUUGAAAUAAUUGGAGGCUGCCGGAAUGGAUGGUGUAGCGGUGAAAUGCAUAGAUAUCAUCCAGAACACCGAUUGCGAAGGCAGGUGGCUACGAUUUAUUUGACACUGAGGCACGAAAGCAUGGGGAGCAAACAGGAUUAGAAACCCUGGUAGUCC